GAUGAACGCUAGCUACAGGCUUAACACAUGCAAGUCGCGGGGUAACAUCUGGUAGAGCUUGCUCUUCCAGGAUGACGACCGGCGCACGGGUGAGUAACGCGUAUCCAACCUGGCCCAUACCACGGGAUAGCCCGUCGAAAGGCGGAUUAAUACCGUAUGCUGUCAUUAAGAUGCAUAUAUUGAUGACGAAAGGACUGGCGGUAUGGGAUGGGGAUGCGUCUGAUUAGCUUGUUGGCGGGGUAACGGCCCACCAAGGCGACGAUCAGUAGGGGUUCUGAGAGGAAGGUCCCCCACAUUGGAACUGAGACACGGUCCAAACUCCUACGGGAGGCAGCAGUGAGGAAUAUUGGUCAAUGGGCGUAAGCCUGAACCAGCCAAGUAGCGUGAGGGAAGACUGCCCUACGGGUUGUAAACCUCUUUUGUUGGGAAUAAAGUGCGGGACNCGUCCCGCAUUGCAUGUACCAUUUGAAUAAGGACCGGCUAAUUCCGUG
rnacentral:rRNA from 1 species